rnacentral:rRNA from 1 species
AGACCCGAAACCCGGUGAUCUAGCCAUGGGCAGGUUGAAGGUUGGGUAACACUAACUGGAGGACCGAACCGACUAAUGUUGAAAAAUUAGCGGAUGACCUGUGGCUGGGGGUGAAAGGCCAAUCAAACCGGGAGAUAGCUGGUUCUCCCCGAAAGCUAUUUAGGUAGCGCCUCGUGAAUUCAUCUCCGGGGGUAGAGCACUGUUUCGGCUAGGGGGCCAUCCCGGCUUACCAACCCGAUGCAAACUGCGAAUACCGGAGAAUGUUAUCACGGGAGACACACGGCGGGUGCUAACGUCCGUCGUGAAGAGGGAAACAACCCAGACCGCCAGCUAAGGUCCCAAAGUCAUGGUUAAGUGGGAAACGAUGUGGGAAGGCCCAGACAGCCAGGAUGUUGGCUUAGAAGCAGCCAUCAUUUAAAGAAAGCGUAAUAGCUCACUGGUCGAGUCGGCCUGCGCGGAAGAUGUAACGGGGCUAAACCAUGCACCGAAGCUGCGGCAGCGAACGUAUCACUUAAAGCGAUUCAGCGGGUUACGAUUGACGGAGCGAAG